rnacentral:rRNA from 1 species
CCUACGGGUGGCAGCAGUGAGGAAUAUUGGUCAAUGGACGAGAGUCUGAACCAGCCAAGUAGCGUGAAGGAGGACUGCCCUAUGGGUUGUAAACUUCUUUUAUAUGGGAAUAAAAUGUUCCACGUGUGGGAUUUUGUAUGUACCAUAUGAAUAAGGAUCGGCUAACUCCGUGCCAGCAGCCGCGGUAAUACGGAGGAUCCGAGCGUUAUCCGGAUUUAUUGGGUUUAAAGGGAGCGUAGGUGGAUUGUUAAGUCAGUUGUGAAAGUUUGCGGCUCAACCGUAAAAUUGCAGUUGAAACUGGCAGUCUUGAGUACAGUAGAGGUGGGCGGAAUGCGUGGUGUAGCGGUGAAAUGCUUAGAUAUCACGAAGAACUCCGAUUGCGAAGGCAGUUCACUGGACUGCAACUGACACUGAGGCUCGAAAGUGUGGGUAUCAAACAGGAUUAGAUACCCCUGUAGUC